rnacentral:rRNA from 1 species
UAAUACGAAGGGUGCAAGCGUUACUCGGAAUUACUGGGCGUAAAGCGUGCGUAGGUGGUGGUUUAAGUCUGCUGUGAAAGCCCUGGGCUCAACCUGGGAAUUGCAGUGGAUACUGGGUCACUAGAGUGUGGUAGAGGGAUGCGGAAUUUCCGGUGUAGCAGUGAAAUGCGUAGAGAUCGGAAGGAACAUCCGUGGCGAAGGCGGCAUCCUGGGCCAACACUGACACUGAGGCACGAAAGCGUGGGGAGCAAACAGGAUUAGAUACCCUGGUAGUCCACGCCCUAAACGAUGCGAACUGGAUGUUGGGUGCAACUUGGCACCCAGUAUCGAAGCUAACGCGUUAAGUUCGCCGCCUGGGGAGUACGGUCGCAAGACUGAAACUUAAAUGAAUUGACGG